GUCAGAAUCUCAUGUGUGGUGAGACCCUGGGACCACAGUGAACACUUUCUGCCCUUGCAAUGCCCUCCAGGCUAAAGAGAAAGGGGAUAAUAUUCAUUGCUCAAGUUAUCCCCGAGAUCAAGGACUAGGCACUGUGGCAGGUGUUCUGAGUCUCAGGAAAGAGCUGAUGCAGACCUGGGAGGAUUGACUGGCAGAGCUGAAGAUCAAGUGCAGGUAUAGGAGCCCUGAAGUAAUAAAUGACAUCACAGCAUCUCUAACAGAUAAAGAGCCUGAGCUGCAGAGUAAAGCGAAAGACCACUAGUAUCUGGGGGCUGUAGAAUCAGACCCCAGAGAGCUUCUAGGGAAAAAGUCAGUCUGUUUAAAUCUGGAGCACUACAGUUGGGGUGGGGGCACUAUGGAAUGAUUUUAAAACUGAAUUUGCUGCUGGAAGGCCUCACACAGCUGGGAGCUAAUAGGGAGCCCUCACAGUAGGCAGCAUAUGAGGCAGGAUUCACUCCUUGGGGAACAGUGUACAUUUGAGUCACGGAAGCAGCACCAGCCUGUCUAAAGCACAGGGACUGAGGAAAGGCCUCCGAAGUGGCAGUGGCGAGCUUAGCAGCAGUACUGGGGAAGUGGAGUAUGAUGGAAACCGCAUUCUCCGUCCUGGUAGGUAAGGCCAGGCCAAGACGGAAGACCUGUCUCCCUUUGGGAAUCAAACACUGGGGUCCAGAGUGGACUUAAGAGGACUAAAACCUACUAUGAGGCUUCAAGGAGCCCUAGGCCUCAGCUAUGCCUUUGUGUGUGUAAGACUGUCCAGAGACCCCCUAGUUCCCUCACCUUAAAAUGAAGGGCAUUAGCAUCAGCCUCAAGGCAGUCGUCACGGUGCGACUUCCUCUGUUGGUGGAAGGAUACUCCGUGGCCCUUACUAGCUCUGUCUCAGAGCACAGCACAAGGGGUACGUGUGAGGGUGCCUUGUUGCAUCUGAUUGAAAAGACCCUUCCAGAGACAAAUCUCUGGGUGGUUCUCGACUCUUCUCUUUCCCUGGGCAGUUGUAGAGAACCCACACUUCAAUGGACGGCCUGCCCAGGUUACCGUUCCCUUGUCCCAUGUAGUGGUGGCAACUUUCCAUAAAAGAGGCGGGGAGGCAGAAGGUUACGGAGCCCUGGGUUUGACUUCCCACCACUUGGCACUUGACCUUGUUCUUCACCAUUCGUGUUCCUUGAGACCUAUUGCCCCACUUAUUAGUCAAGUCUUUAACAUCUCCAGAGCCAUCUCCUAGGAGACAUUGGUGACCUUUAUUCCUGUAACUUCAGUCUUAAGAGACGUUGGCUGAGAGUGCGUCAAGGCCAGGAAGUAUUUAACAAAGGAUUUUACAUUAAAGGAGUGAACGUGAGCUUUACUCUUGGGCGCAGAAGUGCCAAGAAUAGUCAUGUAUGGCCAAAGCAAAUAUGGAAGGGCCCACAAGAGAGGAAAAGAGACAAUGCACUUCAAUGGUUCCCUGGUGCCAUGGUUCCCAUUCCUUAGCUGGGUCAUUGAAGUCCUGCAUGACCCUUGACCAUAGAGGCUAUGUCGCCUGACCAGACACAGAACCUGCCUAACCAGGCCUGGCACAGUACUUGCUGGUCUGUGGCUUUGUGGGUAAAAUAGUUGGUGACUUGGUCGAUUAGUGCUAGGUUCCUGAAGGUGUUAGGAGGCCAGUCUUUCCUAGAAGGAAGGGAAUCCCCUCCACAGACUCCUCUUGGCAGCGUCGCAGUACUAAGGAUUAUUUUGCAAACUAGUAUUCUGAGACAGCAGAUGAGGUGAAAACUCAUAAAAGUACACGGCCUGGCAUCGUUUCUGUAGAGCACGCAAGACAGGCGCCUGUCAGACCAGUUGUGAUGGAGUCUUGGUUACAUCCUUCUCUCUCCCGCCUGUGCCUUCAAGCCCAUGUUUGAAACCUCCCUGCUCUUCCUGUCCUUUCGUACCUGACAGGUGGGUGCGCUGACAGCAGUGUGGAGUAGGGGACUCCCUGUUCUGAGACUGAGGCCUGCACUGGCCAGUCGGUCGCUCCGUGUUUCACCACAGAUUGACAGCAACCCCUGGCACUUGGUUCCUGGACUAUAGACCGUAAGCUGAGUUGGUUGUCGGCAUCCUCCUGCCUUUGCCACCUUCUCUCCCCAGAGAUCGUGAGCAUCUUCACGAGUGUCAAGCUCAUAACUGUCUCCCUUCAGCCCCCUCCACUGCCAUAGACCUGCACCCCUGAAAACGUAUUGCCCAAACAAGAGUCGUGCUCCAGACCCAUGCCCUCCACAGCCCAGGGGCUCACUCGUCUCUGUAAGCCCACUACUUACAGACGGACAGGGCCCUCUAUAGGGGCUGCUUUCAGUGGAUGGCUUUGGGUUUGUUUCUUUAACUAAUCAAAUGUGAAUUGGUUAUUUCCAUACUUGAAGCAAUUCUUGUGGGUGCUCAGUGGUGCCAUUUUUCACAGACAGAAACUAGGGCCCACGGAGACUGAGAACACACCCAGCUAUUGCUGUAAUGACCCUUGUGGCUGUGUCCACUCUUAACAGCCUGGUGAGCAGGUGUGGAACCUCCUCAGCUGAUAACUCUACUAUACCUGUAAACCAGACUUUCUGGCCCCUCAGUGUUUCCCAGGCCCCUGGCUUUCUCUUCAGUUGGAUCCAGUCAUCUCUGGCUACUCAGUUGCACCCAUGUCUCUGAGCAUCCAGCACAACUCCUUAUAACCUGUGGUCUACAUGGCUGCUAUUUGGCUUCCUUACUAACUUAGGGCAUUUUCUGUGGCACUUGGUUCAACUUUUGUCCUUUCACAAGGAUGGCAUGCUCUCUCUCGUGGAGUAACUGGUACUCACCAUCUGACUGGCACUGCCAUGCUCCUUCGUCAGGUGCCAACCAGAGACACUUGUCCUCAAAAGAAAUGGUACAAAAACGUAUCUGGGAUUGGGGUGACAACUCUCACCAUCAUGAGCACCAAGAAGGAAUCACUGUAUCACUUAAGGGAUUUAAUUGUCCCCUUUGGGAUUAGCAUAGUGUUAGAGGCAGAAAGGAGAGUCUGAGGGGAACAAGUAAAGGCGAGCUUGCUCUCCCAGCUUCGAAGGAAGGGAGCUGGGAGGAACUCCUUUUGGACUGUUCUUUUAUAUGGCUCUUACUUGGCAAGUGCUUUUCUAGUCAGAAAACCUGAGCAGUUGUCAGGAGGGCUUCCUGAAACUCUCCAGCACCCUAAGAACAGCACAGUUGUGCCUACUGUACUAAAGGGCUUGCAGAUGUCAAUUGCCCAGGAGACAGAGCAGACCUGGGACUUGCCCUGUUGUCCUCCAGAGCCUUACCUUGACUGCCCUCCUCCAACUACCAGUCCUGAGUAGAAGAGGAGUGUAGAGCUGCCGAGAGAAGCCCUGAGAAGAUUGAGGGGCAGAGGGUUGGGACGCCUGUUCACAGGGAAAGGGCAAAAGCAGAUACCUUUUUAAACAGUCAAGUUGGAAACAAGAACCUACUAGAAAUUUGGAGUGAGGGAAGAAUUAGAUACUUUAAAGUGUCUAAAAAACAAAGAAAUGGCAUCAGGAAGGUGAAGGCCAGCAGUGAGCAAGGACAAGUAAUGGUCCAUGUCUCUGCUGCCUGGGGUGGACUGCACUAUUUAGUCAAGGUUAACCUGGGGCAGAAAGCACGUAGAACCCACCACCCAAACCAAAGAAGCUUAGCACCGCCAGUGACCUCAUCUGUCUGCUGGGAGGCACUAAGUAAAUGUUUGCUGAUAGGAAAUAAACAUCUGAAAUGAGAAAUUACAUCAAACAAAGCAGCCAGGCAUGGAGGCUCAUGCCUGUUAUCCUAGCACGUGGUAGGUACAGAUCGAAGGAGUUCAAGGUCGUCCUUGACUACAUAAGGACUUAGAGGCCACUCUAAGCUACACGAAACCCUGUCUCAAAAAAAUAAAUAGAACAGCCACCAAUUGAAACUGUCAGUGUUAAGGUGAUGAUGACGGACAGGAACCAGGGUCUCAUCCAUCGGCCAGCUGCAUGGGGCUGCCUGGGUGACCUACAGUGGUCAAGACUAGAAAAGCAACCCCUCUUUGAUCACAGUUCUGCCAGGUGUUUGAGGGUUGUAUGCACUUAUGGGUCUGGAGAUCCGCAGAUGCCCUAGAAUGUCUCAAUCAUCCAGAGUUCACAUAGAAGACCUCCAGCAAGAACUGACACAGACAGUCGUCCAUUCUCAUUGUAGCGUCCCUUUCACACAGCACACAGCUUCCUUCCCUGGAUAGAUAAGAUUUACUACCCGAGUCUUACAACCCAUAGCUCCACACAUUUUUUUUCUUUGUUUUGUUUUGAAACUUUAUUUUAAAAUUGUUUUGCCUACAUGUAUGAAAGUGUACCAUGUGGGUACCUGGUGCCCUUAGAGGCCAGAAGACAGCAUUGGAUCCCCCUGGAGCUCCUAUGUGGGUGUCAGGAACUAAAAACCCAGGUCCUCUGCAAAAUCAGCCACUGCUGAAGCAUUGUUCCAGCCCCUGCACCGUUUUGAAUCAAUUAGACAGGCAGAGUCUGCAUCCUGAUUUCCCAGUGAGGAUGCUUCUCUACUGACUUGCUGGGAAUUCUCUCCACUCAUCAGGUCUGCCUCCCAAUCUGUGGGAGGAAGAAGCAGUUAUCGAGAUUAUCCCUGAGUUCCUUUUCAGUGCUAGCCUCACAUCUUCAGACAGCCCACAGCUCUGACAACACUGACCAGGGUGCGGAUCAGGCUGCGUUCGUCAGCUCCACAUCCCGGAGCGUGGAAAGAUCAACGUGACUGCAAGCCCCAAAAGGUGAACUUGCCAGGAAAGGCAGGCUGAGAUGAUUUUGCUGCUUGUGGUGAAAUGUCUCAGCACACAGACAAUUCAGGAUCGGAUGCCUACAGACUGGUGGAUGCCAAUCGACGGAUCCAUUUGCAUUGGCUAAGUGGGUGAGCCAUCUCUCCACACUCUCACCUUCAAAUGCUGCCACUGUUGCCAGUCAGACGUCCUGUGCAGGCGGCACGUUCCUUGAGGACAACUCCAGGUGUCAUCAUCAACCAGAAACUCGGACCUGGAGCAGGAGAAGCCUUGUCCAAAGCCAAGGUGCAGACUGUUGAUCCACUGUUCACUAGAAGAAAAGCUCCAUUCUAAACUAAGGCAGCUUAGUCAAUAAGCUUGCUAUGCAAGCAUUAGGACCCGUGUUCAAUUCCCAGCCCUGUAUAAAAGAUGAGGAUGGAUAUAGACACCACACACUGGAUAACAGAUUUUAGCUCCAAGGAAAGAGCCCACUUCAGAAAAUAAAGUAGAGAUUGAUGAAGGCAGCUGACUCUAACUGUGGCUUGACAUACACAUGCACAUGUACACACACAAACACAUAAGCAUCUGCUACAUACAUACAUGAACCAGCACAAAGGUGCAGUCAGACUAACAGGAACCAGACCCAAAACUGCUCUGUGACUGGCAUCUAAGGGGAGAUACAGCAGGGCACCUGAGAAGAAGGUGCCCUUGGAAGAGACAACAAAGACACAUACGUUCCAGGACCUGCAAAGUGUUUGCUGCACAGCUCUGAGGUCAGGGCAGAAGUCCCCCGGGUGGGAGACCGUUGACCUCUGAUCUGGCCUUGGGGGGGAGGCUGGAGGGGACACAGAGCCCUGUGCUCAGCAUCAGGACAGGGGAGACUUGGCCAGCCAGGCUCGCAGAGUGGGGACAGACAGCGAGGGACCCCAGAGCAGUGGGAUUAAGUGUUGAGGUGAGGGGAUUAGUUGUUGUGUCGAUGGAAGGAACACAAUUCAAUCUUGUUCCUUCUGCAGGGAACCUGAUCUCCAUGUUCUCAGGGAGCCUCCGUCUGCCCUGCUGGUCCUAGCUGCAGCUCUAAUUAGCUGUGGCUUCGUCUUGCCUGGUGGCUGGGGUCAUGUCUUAGCAUUCUUUGUAGCUCUGGGCACCUAGCAACAGGCAGCGUCGAUGUAGGGGCAGAAUAAUCAUUGUCUGUCUCGACUUCAGUAUCUAAAAUGGAGAUUGAGCUUAAUUUUGUCAACAAGAUUUCUGUUGUGUUCUAUAGGGACUCACAAAUGACAUAGAAGUAGCGGUUGCACUAUCUGGAUCUCAGGAUGCUCCCUGGACUCAGUGUGGGCUCAGCUCCUCACAGUGUAUGCCAUGAGGUCAUGGCCACUGUCUUGUCUGAUCGUGGCAGCCCCUCCCCCUGCAUGCAGUGAGACAGCACUGACCUGUAUCACAGAGAAGGAAACUGAAACCCAGAGAAGCAAAGCAAAAAGACAGUGGUAAGAAGUAGAGAGGAUGUGGGCGAGGCCAUUGUCUUGGUUCUUUGUCCUCUUUUAGGCAGUAUACACUGAAUUCCAGCUCUUUCUUUCACACUUGCACCAGAAGUCAAGGUCAAGUGAGCCAUGGCUUAGCUGCCUGAGCUGGGACCCAUACUGUGCCCUGUGGGACUAGUGUGUCUUCUGCAUGGUAGAGCAGUCAGGCUCCACCUCAGCUACGUGAGAUUCCAUACUAGGAAGUCUCACAGGUUUAUAGAGCGGUAUGAGAAGUAAGG
ensembl:lncRNA